rnacentral:lncRNA from 1 species
AUUUUUUUUAUGGAAUUAAUAAAAUGAAAAUUUGAACAUACAUAUAUGUGCUUAAAAUAUGUAUGUGCAGUUUGAAAGAUACCCUGCACUGUCUACCAAGAUGUAGAAUAAUCAUGAAAUUAUAUAACUUUUUAAUUUCAUUUUAGUUUGAUGCUUGGGAUUGAGCACAGUCUACCAGUGAUCUGUUCUCCAUGCUGCUAGUUACAUUUUACUGCCAGGCAUCUGAUGUUUGUAUCAAGACUUUUAUUUUCCUUUUUUUAAACUAGAUAUUUUCUUUAUUUACAUUUCAAAUGUUACCCCCUUUUUCCUGGUUUCCCCUCAGAACUCCCUAUCUUCUCCCCCUCCCCAUGCUUCUGUGAGGGUGUUCACCACCCACCCAUCCACCCAUUCUCUCCUCCCCGCCUUGGCAUUCCCCUACACUGGGGCAUCGAGCCUUCACAGGACUAAGGGCCUCUCCUCCCACUGGUGCCCUUCAGAGCCAUCCUCUGCUGCCUAUGUGACUGGAGCCAUGAGUCCCUCCAUGUGUUGUAUCAAGAUUUUCAUUUAGAAGACUCUACUUACCCAAUUAAGUCACAUUUUCAGCAGUUUAUGAAUAGGGUCAUUCAUAAUUCUUCUUUUUUUGAGAUAUCUAAAACUGUACCUGUCCUAAUUUUUUAUCUAAGGAAAAUGUUACUUGAUUUGAAAGAAAGUGUUUUUAGUUACCCAUAAAUGGGGUUAGAAAACACAAUGGAGCAAAUUAGUGCCACAGCCAUUUCUCCUAUGGUCUAGAUUUUGCCUUUCCCUUUUGGGUUCUGGUCGGUUUACAGAUUUGUAUAUUGAUGACUAAUUUAUAUAUUGGAUUCACAUUAUUUUGGAGGCUGUUUUCAAUUUACAUACAGCAGCCUCUGCUAAAGAUCUUAUCACAUGUUUUAUGUCUUAAUAUAUAGGUAAUUGUGUUUGUUGUAUGGCUCUAUAAUAGAAAUAAAUAAAUAUAAUGUUAUAAGAAACAUAUAAAUUAAGGGCUAACAGUAUUAGGGAAUUUUUGGUAACUACUUACCUACCAAUGUGGAAAAUGUUUCUUUGAGUGUGUCCUCCAAAAGAGUUGCUGAAGAGAAAAUACUGGUACUUCUCUUGGGAGGAUUUAUCUAUUAGGGGUAGGGGUGAUCUAUUCUAGGAUUCCAGAAAUGAUAAGGCAAAUAUAUACCCAGGGAAUAAUUGCAGUAGGUAGACCUGACUGGAGUAUUGAGUUCACAUUGCUGGGGGAAUAUAGUACAAUUCAAAGGAAAUAUAUUGUGAACUCAGAUGAAUCUGUCACUGAUGUUUGGAAGUACUGGAAUAGUAAGGGAAGCCAAGAUUUGUUGAGGAAAACUAUAUGGAUGAGCUAAUUUGUUAGGGGGGACAGGAAUGUCUAUCCAUAUAAAAAGGUAACAGUCAUUAAUCGAUGAGGGCAGAUAAGAAUGUAUCAAAAGACAGUUCUUCCGUGCAAGAAUUGUGUUCAUAGAUAUAUCAGUUGGAACUGUGCACCUCACAAUCUUUAGUUCUCUAUACGUGAUCAGUUAGGGGAUCCAAUGAUACCUAUUUGUUUCAAAGAGAAAUUUCUGUGAUGAGAGGUUAUAGUUAGACUAAUUGUGGG